AACGAACGCUGGCGGCAGGCUUAACACAUGCAAGUCGAGCGCCCCGCAAGGGGAGCGGCAGACGGGUGAGUAACACGUGGGAAUCUACCCAUCCCUACGGAACAACUCCGGGAAACUGGAGCUAAUACCGUAUACGCCCUUAGGGGGAAAGAUUUAUCGGGGAUGGAUGAGCCCGCGUUGGAUUAGCUAGUUGGUGGGGUAAAGGCAUACCAAGGCGACGAUCCAUAGCUGGUCUGAGAGGAUGAUCAGCCACAUUGGGACUGAGACACGGCCCAAACUCCUACGGGAGGCAGCAGUGGGGAAUAUUGGACAAUGGGCGCAAGCCUGAUCCAGCCAUGCCGCGUGAGUGAUGAAGGCCUUAGGGUUGUAAAGCUCUUUCACCGAUGAAGAUAAUGACGGUAGUCGGAGAAGAAGCCCCGGCUAACUUCGUGCCAGCCGCCGCGGUAACAC
rnacentral:rRNA from 1 species